UACGUAGGGGGCAAGCGUUGUCCGGAUUUAUUGGGCGUAAAGAGCGUGUAGGCGGCCAGACAGGUCAGCUGUGAAAACUCGAGGCUCAACCUCGAGACGUCGGUUGAAACCGUCUGGCUAGAGUCCGGAAGAGGAGAGUGGAAUUCCCGGUGUAGCGGUGAAAUGCGCAGAUAUCGGGAAGAACACCCGUGGCGAAGGCGGCUCUCUGGGACGGUACUGACGCUGAGACGCGAAAAGCGUGGGGAGCGAACGAGGA
rnacentral:rRNA from 1 species